CGGGCGGACGGGGGAGUAACGCGUGGGUAACCUGCCUCAUACAGGGGGAUAACAGUUAGAAAUGACUGCUAAUACCGCAUAAGACCACAGCACCGCAUGGUGGCGGGGGUAAAAACUCCGGUGGUAUGAGAUGGACCCGCGUCUGAUUAGCUAGUUGGUAAGGUAACGGCUUACCAAGGCGACGAUCAGUAGCCGACCUGAGAGGGUGACCGGCCACAUUGGGACUGAGACACGGCCCAA
rnacentral:rRNA from 1 species